rnacentral:misc_RNA from 1 species
CACAUAAAUAUAUGCAUUUCACCAUAUCUAUUACAACAACUAUACAUUUACAAAUAGAAAAAAAAUUACAAAAAAAAAGGGAAGACUUUUGAGAUCCGAGUAGAGAUCUCUUGUUCCCCACCAAUAACAUAGAUAAUAAAUUGGAAGUCACCUAGGGGCUAAAUAUAUGAAAAUAGCGUGUAUAUAUACAAAAGGCAGCUUCACAAUUAU